UGCAGUCGAGCGGGGACAUGGAGAAGCUUGCUUCGAAAUGUUCUAGCGGCGGACGGGUGAGUAACGCGUGAGCAACCUUUCCUCUACUGGGGAAUAACACAGGGAAACUUGUACUAAUACCGCAUGAGACCACAGAGCUGCAUGGCUUAGGGGUCAAAGAUUUAUCGGUAGAGGGUGGGCUCGCGUCUGAUUAGGUAGUUGGUGAGGUAACGGCCCACCAAGCCGACGAUCAGUAGCCGACCUAAGAGGGUGAUCGGCCACAUUGGGACUGAGACACGGCCCAAACUCCUACGGGAGGCAGCAGUGGGGAAUAUUGGGCAAUGGGGGAAACCCUGACCCAGCAACGCCGCGUGGAGGAAGAAGGUUUUCGGAUCGUAAACUCCUGUCCUCAGGGAAGAGCAGAAGACGGUACCUGAGGAGGAAGCCCCGGCUAACUACGUGCCAGCAGCCGCGGUAAUACGUAGGGGGCAAGCGUUGUCCGGAAUGAUUGGGCGUAAAGGGCGCGUAGGCGGUUCGGUAAGUCUGGAGUGAAAGUCCUGCUUUCAAGGUGGGAAUUGCUUUGGAUACUGUCGAGCUUGAGUGCAGGAGAGGUAAGUGGAAUUCCCAGUGUAGCGGUGAAAUGCGUAGAGAUUGGGAGGAACACCAGUGGCGAAGGCGACUUACUGGACUGUAACUGACGCUGAGGCGCGAAAGUGUGGGGAGCAAACAGGAUUAGAUACCCUGGUAGUCCACACUGUAAACGAUGAAUGCUAGGUGUAGGAGGUAUCGACCCCUUCUGUGCCGCAGUUAACACAAUAAGCAUUCCGCCUGGGGAGUACGGCCGCAAGGUUGAAACUCAAAGGAAUUGACGGGGGCCCGCACAAGCAGCGGAGCAUGUGGUUUAAUUCGACGCAACGCGAAGAACCUUACCAGGUCUUGACAUCCAGUAAAACCCGUAGAGAUACGGUGUGAGCUUGCUCGUACUGAGACAGGUGGUGCAUGGGUUGUCGUCAGCUCGUGUCGUGAGAUGUUGGGGUUAAGUCCCGCAACGAGCGCAACCCUUUACCUUUAGUUACUAACGUGUUAUGGC
rnacentral:rRNA from 1 species